rnacentral:rRNA from 1 species
CAGCGCCACGAGUGGCAAUCGCGUUUACUUGGCCUAAAGCGUCCGUAGCCGGUUAGGCAAAUCUUUUGUGAAAUUGUUGGGCUCAACUCAACACCGUGCAGAAGACACUACCUAACUUGGGACCGGGAGGAGUCAGAGGUAUUCUUUGGGGAGCGGUAAAAUGCUAUAAUCCUUAGAAGACCACCUGUGGCGAAGGCGUCUGACCAGAACGGAUCCGACGGUGAGGGACGAAAGCUAGGGGAGCGAACCGGAUUAGAUACCCGAGUAGUCC